GCAAGUCGAACGGUAACAGUCCUGCUUGCAGGAGCUGACGAGUGGCGCACGGGUGCGUAACGCGUAUGCAACUUACCUUCAACUGGGGAAUAGCCCGAAGAAAUUUGGAUUAAUACCCCAUAAUAUCUCAAAAUCGCAUGGUUUAGAGAUUAAAACUCCGGUGGUUGAAGAUAGGCAUGCGUCCCAUUAGUUUGUUGGUAAGGUAACGGCUUACCAAGACUACGAUGGGUAGGGGGCCUGAGAGGGUGAUC
rnacentral:rRNA from 1 species